rnacentral:rRNA from 1 species
CUUGUUUACCUAUAAGAGGUCCAGCCUGCCCAGUGACUCUGUUCAACGGCCGCGGUAUCCUAACCGUGCGAAGGUAGCGUAAUCACUUGUUCUUUAAAUGAGGACUAGUAUGAAUGGCACCACGAAGGUUAUACUGUCUCCUCUCUCUAAUCAGUGAAACUAAUCUCCCCGUGAAGAAGCGGGGAUAAUCUUAUAAGACGAGAAGACCCUAUGGAGCUUUAAACUAAGAAUCAACUGCCUUUACUAUAUUUAAAUUCCAGAAGACUAACUUUUACCAAGACAUUCUGAUUUCUAGUUUUAGGUUGGGGUGACCACGGAGUAAAAACUAACCUCCGCAAUGAACAGGGAUCUUCCCUUAACCAAGGACCACAACCCUAAGAAUCAAUACAUUGACAUCAAUUGACCCAUUAAACCUGAUCAAUGAAC